UCUUGUGCAGAUGAAUAGGAAGGAAGAGAAAGUUUGUGCAAUGCACAGUUCCCUGGCCUUCAGUCUCUCCUUACUCAGCUUAGAGACAAAAGUCAGAGUGUGGGGACAGUGUACACACAUCCUGAACUGAAAAACAAAGACCAACAACAGAAAGCUGUUCUCCGUGGCCUGGUGUGAUUAGAGGGCUGAAAUGACAGGCAUGGACCACCACCCCAGAUUUGGUGGGGGAAGCAUUCUGCCGUAGCACCAAUGUGGAAGUCAGAAGACAAUUUGCAAAAGCUGGUUUUCUUCUUCUGCCAUGUGAGUCCCAAGGAAUGAAUUCAGGUCACCUGGCUUGGUGAACAAGAUAUUGAACUCUCAACUCCUCCUGCACUAUGCCU